UCAUUUUGCCAUAAAAAUACAUUUACGAUUUGUUUACUAUACUGUUGACGACAACGGAGUUGCACAGUCUAUACGGUGCUGCCACGUAGCAAAGUAGGUCUACGUUUCUGUUUGAGCAAUUAAUUCUGCAGUUGUGGUGAAUAUUCAGGUCGGUGAUACCAGUCUCAGAUUCGAUCUACAAUUAUGGAUUACAGACAAGUUCGGAUGUGGUUAGUCUUGCUGUUGCUACUGCUGGUGACUGGAGCUCUGUCCUCGUGGCUGGGCGACUUUUCAUGCUGCGUUGUUCAGGCGGGUGCCCGUUAUACUGGAGGCGUAUUGUUAUCAGGAUUAGUCGAAAAGACCGUGUGCAAAUGUAACUAAAUAUAGCGACCAUUGUCGAAACUACGCAUCAACUCGCUGACAUGAUAAUGGUUUUCUUUUCACGGAAUAUUUCUUAAUUAGUCAAUAUUUUUUUGUAUAAAAUAAUUUACUUCAGGUUGUUAGAAUGAAUUCCAAAUGACUACAGAGACUAAAUCAAAUAAAUGAUUAUAUGUACAAUUGACAACUUAUUUUGCUUAACUUACACUUACUUGAUCAAAAGGUCUGCUUACGAACCUAUGUUAUGGAAUUAAGAACAGUUUAAAAAGAUCAACUAAAAUUGCUUAUCAUUACAUACGUGUUAUUUUUGAUGUGACCACGUUCGCAAUGUAACGACACUUUUCUUUGGUUAAAAGCUAUGUGUUAUCACAUUACAUAUAUUCAGUUAUUAGUUUUCAACAAAUCAUGAAUUCGCUUUUCAGCAAUAUCUCCCCGUGUUAUAAAUGUAAACAAACGAACCAUGAAAAUGUUGUUUUUCCUUUUUCGAGUGAUUGUAAACGAAUUUAUAUUGACAUAUUUGAAGAUUGGCUAACAAACAACUAAAACAAAUUUCUAUUUAACUGAUUUCUUAUUAAUUACUAUUUAAAUGAAAUCCUACUAUAUCAAGCUCACGAUCAGAAUGCCUUGCCGUGCUAACGAUGAAUGGGACAUGACGUGUGUUUAGCUAUGUCGAGUGGUGAUUUAAUGUGCUGAAAAGCGAUGGCGAUAGAUGGAUGCUUUUAAUUCAUUGAAAUAAAUAUCUUGUUAAAAGCAUAACGUCAAUGUUUAUAGUUUAUUGUCGGACAAUUGGUAAACCAAACGGAGGCUUGUUGGGUUUCAAGACAUAUGAUCCAUCAUUGAGGCGAGAUGUGCCAAGUUGAUGGCUUUCACCGGCCAUACAAAAUCUUAGCUCAACUUGUUCUGGGUGAAAAGUCACGCAUAGGCAGAGGAUACGAUGUACCUUCUGUAGCUCUUAUCAUUUAUCGUACAUUUCCAAUAAAUCAACAAAUUAUGAGGCAUAACCAGACAAAAUAAGCCACUUCCCCAUCUAUCUAUUGAUCCAUAUGUGUUACUCUUAUGUUCACACACUAUGUGGGAAAAAAUGGCUUAACAAUAUUUGUUUCAAACACUAAGUCAGAAUUUAAGCCCUAUGAAUUAACCUUCUAAAUUAUUGUUCAUAUACGACGCAACUGUUAAGCACCUAGACAAGGUUAGGAAACUAAAACAAUUUUCUGUGAUAUAAGCAGGGACUUUAACUGGAAUUUGUAUUUUGAUUUGAUCUAUUGAUUAACAAAAUUCACAAUAUCUUGUGUAUGUGAUACUAUGUUCUAAUGAUUUCAUCUUACCUUAAUGAUAGUAGACAGAGAGUCGUCUGGGAUGGUUUUCAAUUAAAUUGAUAACCCCUAAGAAUGUACACUUCUGAAAAGUUAAAAAAAAUCAAAAGAACUUCAGUUGACCAAUAUUAAUAAUGAAAUACUAAUAUGGUAUUUUCCAGUCUGUAGCAUAUCAUUUUCAUAAUAUUAAACAUAGCAAAACUUAAUUUACUACAGUUAAAACUGGCGAUGCAAUGAGAUUCUAUAACUACCUUUCUUUAAUGUGAAAAUAAUAUUGGUUGAGUGCAAGUAAUACUUAUUUGUUUGGGAUACACAAACCGGUUGCUUGAUUGGUCGUAAAAACUGUAAUGAUCAGAAUCAUUUCUAUUGUACAUAACUGAUUUGAUGUCUGACGUCAGGUAAUUUAUUGCUGAUGAUAUAUCCCGUUAUUCUCUGAUCAAAUGAAAGGACAGGACACUGCUGACAUGUCAAAUAAUGAAUUAAGGAAAAACAUCAAUUUUGGCUGGAAUUGUGUUCAACCAAAUCUUUCCAAUUCUGAAGUCGAGUUAACUCCAAGACAGUGGAUAUCAAGCUAUUCUCACAAUAAUUCAGUUAUAAUAAAACAAAGUAAACAGAGGCUCACAUAACCAAACCCCACCUAUUUCCCCCGUCCCAAUCCCAAUCUCUCUUCUGGUGUAAAUGGCAUGUAAUUUGUUGUCGCGUUUGUUACAUAAGCGUUUUAGCACAAGGGUGAUGAUAUCUGGCCAGUAGCAUACUAGGUUGAAGGCUACCAAGUUGUUUUUCAAAAGAAUAACCUACUUUCAAGGCCAUAAAGGACAAACGUGUCUAACUCUUUGAACAAAUUCUUUCCCAAAAGGUCAAGGGUGAUGGUAUUUGGCCUGUGUGCCUGCAACAAGCAUAGGUAAGGGUCCAAAAGGUCAAGGGUGAUGGUAUUUGGCCUGUGUGCCUGCAGCCUGCAUGGGUAAGGGUUACCAAGUUUGUUCAAAUGGAUGACCUUAAUUCACUUUCACGGGGUUAAAUGUAAAAUUCAUUUGGAUUUCAUAAGAUAUAUCUUGUACACACUUUUUAAAAGUACGGACGAUUUGUCCGUUAACUUUGUGAAAGACAUUAACUAGGUUUGUUGCCCAAUUAUAUUUGUUAAUGAGAUAUGUUCAGUAAAAUAAGAAGAGAAUGUCCCCAGAGAGUACUAUUGACAAAACACACAAAUUUACACGUUCAUUUGUGAAAUACAGUCGUGUUGUCUUUUAUGCGCUGCAGAUUACCAUACCAUAUAUUUACCUGUUAUAAAUAGAUAUUCUCAUUUCGGGGAUGAAAGUUCACUAUCUAUUUGAAUGCAAUAAUAUAACUAUAUCCACCUUACGUAACAAAUAUAUUCCUCGUUAUUAUUGUACAAACCCAAAUAUUUACAAGUUUAAAGGUCUUUUAUCAUUAUGCAAUCAACGAGUUCUGACAGGUAUAUCUAUUUUCCUAACCAAAAUGGCUCCUCUUUUGUGAAUGAUGCAUAUGUGUAACUGUUAACAGUUCAAUAACUUGGGAAUUAUAUGUAGGUUUUUUAUGUUUGUGUUGUAUUUUUCAUUGUAUGUCAUAUCAUGUUACUUUAUAACUGUCCAUUCUUUCAGUUAUACAUGUGUAUACAAAUAUGUAUAUUGUACUUCAUUUUCCAUAUCUGCAAAUUUAUUUCCUCAUGUAACCCAUAUUAUGUGUCUGAGUGUCAAUAAAAAUCUUGAAAUCAUUCAAUACAAAUCUGAUACGCUUGUGCAGUAUUUGGAACUGAGCCAUGACAAGGGUUUUACCAUAUAUAUUUCGAUGAUACUGCGUAUUAGGUUUCAAAACCGGUUUACAACUACUUUCUCUUUAUCAAUAGGGUAGAAAAUUGGCAUUUGGUUACAAAUACAUAUAUGGAUUUGUUUGUGUAACGUUUGACGACAACGGAGUUGCACAGUCUAUACGGUGCUGCCACGUAGGAAGGUAGGCCUACGUUUCUGUUUGAGCAAUUAAUUCUGCAGUUGAGGCGAAUAUUCAGUUCGGUGACAUAGCUCUGGUAUUCGCGUUAUAAACAUGGAUUACAGACAAAUGGUGACGAUAGUUCUCUUGAUGAUGAUGCUGGUGGUGACAGGAGUUGGUUCCGCCUGGGGUGGUUACAUUGCUUGCUGUGCUGCUAGAGGAGUUGCCCGUUAUUAUGGAGGCGCAAUUUUAACAAGCGCGUUCGAUUGGACCUUGUGUAAAUGUUUGUGAAUAUACACUACAUAAGAUGAUGACAGGUUUUUGUUUCUCCGUCGCCUUAUUUCAACUCACACCUGUCUUAAUUAUUGUCUUUCUUACUUGGUCUAGAUUAUCCAACUGAUGGCUGGAUAUACGAUGGCCAGAAUUAGAUCAAGCCAAUGUUUGUUUUCUUAAUAUCUACAAAACUCUCAAUAACUGUAUGCAUUGGAGAGAAAGUCAGAAUGUUCUAGGAAAGGGUAUUCUAGUGCGGAAAGGUGGACUAUUUUUUCGGGUAUAUAAUGGAGAUUAGUUGUAUGCAGUCAAUGGGCAUAAUUAUGAUCCAAACAAAAUUCAAUUUGUAAUAUUUAAUUAUUAUCUUCUUGUGUCAGUGUUGUUGUUUUCUAAGUUUAUUAAAAAAAAUACAUAGACAAAAUGUCUCGAUUGUU